AAGUCUAUUGCCCUUACAAUCAAUGCAACAAAGAUUUGCCAUCAAAAGUAAAGAUAAGCAAAGUGAGCAUAAAAAACAUAAGGGGAACAUCAAGAACACAAGAUGCAGUGCUUUUACUGUGCAGUAAAGGUGCACCAUGUGAUGGAGUGGAGGUUGGAGAUAUAGACAUUACCUAUAAUGGAAAAGAAGGACCAGCCAAAUCUAGUUGUGAAAAUGUGAAGCCAAAGUUAGUAGGGAAACAGAAUCCACCAAUUUGUGCUGGAGCUCAGUCUUCUUGAGCUUUUUUUAAUUAGUUCCCAAUUUUUGUGCAAUUUUUAGCAAAUUGUUUUUAUAUAGUUUUGAUUAAGAAUUAGAUAUUAAUCCACCAGUUUGCACUGGUGUUGCUCAGUCUAAUUAUUGAGCUUAAUAGCUUAUAAUAUUUAUUUAUUUUAAUUCUAGAGUUUUUAGUUGUUGGAUAUCCUAAUUGAAAUAGUAUGUGUGCACGUAUAUAAGAUGUGCAUUGUAUUCAAAGUGUAGAAAUUACACAUGAAUAAUGGAGUAAUAGGAAAUCCUCUUGGCGAGAGAUUUUUGAACGUGAGAACAUAUAUUAUAACGUAGCACAAUAUAUGUUUGUGCUGGA